UACGUAGGGUCCGAGCGUUGUCCGGAAUUAUUGGGCGUAAAGAGCUCGUAGGCGGUUUGUCGCGUCUGCUGUGAAAUCCCGAGGCUCAACCUCGGGCCUGCAGUGGGUACGGGCAGACUGGAGUGCGGUAGGGGAGAAUGGAAUUCCUGGUGUAGCGGUGGAAUGCGCAGAUAUCAGGAGGAACACCGAUGGCGAAGGCAGUUCUCUGGGCCGUAACUGACGCUGAGGAGCGAAAGCGUGGGGAGCGAUCCGG
rnacentral:rRNA from 1 species